GGCGGGUCUCCUCGCAUUGUAAUGUAGCCAACCUGGUCAGAUGCGGAAGCAAGCAGCCACAACUAUUGCACAAGUGCCGGGGUAAGGCUCGCCACC
rnacentral:SRP_RNA from 1 species